AGUCCAUGAUGCGGGCAACAUCGGAGCAAAUCCAGGCAUCAUACAUGCUCUCAUCAUCGAACUGCACAAAAAAAGAUAUGUCAUUUCUUAAUCU
rnacentral:snoRNA from 1 species